CAGUAGCCACGGUAAUACCAGCAGCCCAAGUGGUGGUCGCGUUUAUUGGGCCUAAAGCGCUCGUAGCCUGGCCGGUAAGUUCCCCGUGAAAUCGGGUCGCCCAACGAUUCGGCUCGCGGGGAAUACUGUCGGUCUUGGGGCCGGGAGACGCCGAGGGUACUCCGGGGGUAGCGGUGAAAUGCUGUAAUCCUCGGGGGACUACCAGUGGCGAAGGCGCUCGGCGAUAACGGGCCUGACGGUGAGGGGCGAAAGCUGGGGGCGCGAACGGGAUUAGAGACCCCAGUAGUCCCUGUCUCUUAUU
rnacentral:rRNA from 1 species